CGUAGGCGGCCUUCUAAGUCGAACGUGAAAUCCCCGGGCUCAACCCGGGAACUGCGUCCGAUACUGGAAGGCUUGAAUCCGGGAGAGGGAUGCGGAAUUCCAGGUGUAGCGGUGAAAUGCGUAGAUAUCUGGAGGAACACCGGUGGCGAAGGCGGCAUCCUGGACCGGCAUUGACGCUGAGGCGCGAAAGCCAGGGGAGCAAACG
rnacentral:rRNA from 1 species